rnacentral:rRNA from 1 species
UACGAAGGGGGCAAGCGUUGUUCGGAAUUACUGGGCGUAAAGGGCGCGUAGGCGGCCGACAAGUCAGGCGUGAAAUUCCCGGGCUCAACCUGGGGGCUGCGCUUGAUACUGAUUGGCUUGAAUGCGGGAGAGGAUAGUGGAAUUCCCAGUGUAGAGGUGAAAUUCGUAGAUAGUUGGGAAGAACACCGGGUGGCGAAGGCGGCAUCUGGCCCGUAAUUGACGCGUGAGGCGCGGAAAGCGUGGGGAGCAAAC